rnacentral:rRNA from 1 species
GACGAACGCUGGCGGCGUGCUUAACACAUGCAAGUCGAACGGAAAGGCCCUGCUUUUGUGGGGUGCUCGAGUGGCGAACGGGUGAGUAACACGUGAGUAACCUGCCCUUGACUUUGGGAUAACUUCAGGAAACUGGGGCUAAUACCGGAUAGGAGCUCCUGCUGCAUGGUGGGGGUUGGAAAGUUUCGGCGGUUGGGGAUGGACUCGCGGCUUAUCAGCUUGUUGGUGGGGUAGUGGCUUACCAAGGCUUUGACGGGUAGCCGGCCUGAGAGGGUGACCGGCCACCUUGGGACUGAGAUACGGCGCAGUCGCCGACGGGAGGCAGAAGUGGGGAGUAUUGCACAAUGGGAGGAAGCCUGAUGCAGCAACGCCGCGUGCGGGAUGACGGCCUUCGGGGUGUAAACCGCUUUCGCCUGUGACGAAGCGUGAGUGACGGUAAUGGGUAAAGAAGCACCGGCUAACUACGUG